rnacentral:RNase_P_RNA from 1 species
GACUACGCGGCAGCGGAAACGUUUUAGUUUAUGAGGAAAGUCCGGGCAUCACAGAGCAGGGUAGCUGAUAACGUCAGCCGAGGGCGACCUUAGGGCAAGUGCAACAGAGAUAUACCGCCGCUUUCAGCGGUAAGGGUGGAAAGGCGAGGCAAGAGCUCACCAGUGUGCAGGAGACUGCACAGCUAUGUAAACCCUACCCGAUGCAACGUCUAUUGGUACUGCGUAUCUUAACGUCGGCUCGGCGGAUACGCAGUAAUGACGGCUUGAGCUUAUCGGCGACGAUGAGCGUAGAUAAAUUGCCGCGCACGACAGAACCCGGCUUAUCGGUCUGGUC